GACGAACCGUGCAAACGUUAUUCGGAAUCACUGGGCUUAAAGGGCGCGUAGGCGGGCCGCCAGGUCCGGGGUGAAAGCCUCCAGCUUAACUGGAGAAGUGCCUUGGAUACCGGCGGCCUCGAGGGAGGCAGGGGCGUGCGGAACUUCGGGUGGAGCGGUGAAAUGCGUAGAUAUCCGAAGGAACACCGGUGGCGAAAGCGGCGCGCUGGACCUCUCCUGACGCUGAGGCGCGAAAGCCAGGGGAGCAAACGGG
rnacentral:rRNA from 1 species